GUCUACGGCCAUACCACCCUGAACGUGCCCAAUCUCGUCUGAUCUCGGAAGCUAAGCAGGGUCGGGCCUGGUUAGUACUUGGAUGGGAUUAGAUCCAUGAGAUUCACAAGAUUACAGCAAACC
rnacentral:rRNA from 1 species